rnacentral:rRNA from 1 species
UAAUAGUGUAUAUUAAAGUUGUUGCAGUUAAAAAGCUCGUAGUUGAAUGUUGGUGUCGAACGAGCGGUCAGCUUCGGCUGUACUGCUCUCUCGACUCCUUCCUUCUGUGGACUACGUCGCACUUUACUGUGUGGCGCUAGGACGCAGAUCGUUUACUGUGAAAAAAUUAGAGUGUUCAAAGCAGGCCGUACGCUUGAAUACAUUAGCAUGGAAUAAUGGAAUAGGACGUCGGGCCUAUUUUGUUGGUUCUAGGACCGUCGUAAUGAUUAAUAGGGACAGUUGGGGCCGUUUAUAUUCCGUAGUCAGAGGUGAAAUUCUUGGAUUUACGGAAGAUAAACUACUGCGAAAGCAUUCGGCAAGGAUGUUUUCGUUGA